rnacentral:rRNA from 1 species
CGUAGUCAAGAGGAAAACAAUCCAGACCGCCAGCUAAGGCCCCAAAAUCAUAGUUAAGUGGGAAACGAUGUGGGAAGGCAUAGACAGCUAGGAGGUUGGCUUAGAAGCAGCCACCCUUUAAAGAAAGCGUAAUAGCUCACUAGUCGAGUCGGCCUGCGCGGAAGAUGUAACGGGGCUAAAACUAUGUGCCGAAGCUGCGGAUGUAUACUUUGUAUACGUGGUAGGGGAGCGUUCUGUAAGCCGAUGAAGGUGUGUUGAGAAGCAUGCUGGAGGUAUCAGAAGUGCGAAUGCUGACGUGAGUAACGACAAAACGGGUGAAAAACCCGUUCGCCGAAAGACCAAGGGUUCCAGUCCAACGUUAAUCGGGGCUGGGUGAGUCGACCCCUAAGGCGAGGCCGAAAGGCGUAGUCGAUGGGAAAAUGGUUAAUAUUCCAUUACUUCUGUGUAAUGCGAUGAGAGGACGGAGAAGGCUAAAUCAGCCUGGCGUUGGUUGUCCAGGUGAAAGGAUGUAGGCAUGUAUCUUAGGCAAAUCCGGGGUACUCUAUGCUGAGAUCUGAUAGCAAGCUGUACUUGUACAGCGAAGUGGUUGAUGCCAUGCUUCCAGGAAAAGUCUCUAAGCUUCAGUUACACAGGAAUCGUACCCGAAACCGACACAGGUGGUCAGGUCGAGUAGACCAAGGCGCUUGAGAGAACUCUGCUGAAGGAACUAGGCAAAAUGGUACCGUAACUUCGGGAGAAGGUACGCUGUUGUUGGUGAUGGAACUCGCUUCCUGAGCUGACGACAGCCGCAGAAACCAGGCCGCUGCAACUGUUUAUUAAAAACAUAGCACUCUGCAAACACGAAAGUGGACGUAUAGGGUGUGAUGCCUGCCCGGUGCUGGAAGGUUAAUUGAUGGGGUUAGCGUAAGCGAAGCUCUUGAUCGAAGCCCCAGUAAACGGCGGCCGUAACUAUAACGGUCCUAAGGUAGCGAAAUUCCUUGUCGGGUAAGUUCCGACCUGCACGAAUGGCAUAAUGAUGGCGGCGCUGUCUCCAGCAGAGGCUCAGUGAAAUCGAAAUCGCUGUGAAGAUGCAGUGUACCCGCGGCUAGACGGAAAGACCCCGUGAACCUUUACUGCAGCUUGACACUGAACUUUGACCUUACUUGUGUAGGAUAGGUGGGAGGCUUUGAAGCUGGAACGCUAGUUCCAGUGGAGCCGUCCUUGAAAUACCACCCUGGUAAUGUUGAGGUUCUAACUCUGUCCCGUGAUCCGGGACGAGGACCGUGUCUGGUGGGUAGUUUGACUGGGGCGGUCUCCUCCUAAAGAGUAACGGAGGAGUACGAAGGUGCGCUCAGCGUGGUCGGAAAUCACGCGUAGAGUAUAAAGGCAAAAGCGCGCUUAACUGCGAGACCCACAAGUCGAGCAGGUACGAAAGUAGGUCUUAGUGAUCCGGUGGUUCUGUAUGGAAGGGCCAUCGCUCAACGGAUAAAAGGUACUCUGGGGAUAACAGGCUGAUACCGCCCAAGAGUUCAUAUCGACGGCGGUGUUUGGCACCUCGAUGUCGGCUCAUCUCAUCCUGGGGCUGAAGCAGGUCCCAAGGGUAUGGCUGUUCGCCAUUUAAAGAGGUACGCGAGCUGGGUUUAGAACGUCGUGAGACAGUUCGGUCCCUAUCUACCGUGGGCGCUGGAAAUUUGAGAGGAUCUGCUCCUAGUACGAGAGGACCAGAGUGGACGAACCUCUGGUGUACCGGUUGUGACGCCAGUCGCAUCGCCGGGUAGCUAUGUUCGGAAGGGAUAACCGCUGAAAGCAUCUAAGCGGGAAGCCUACCUCAAGAUAAGAUUUCCCUAGGACUUUAUGUCCUCUAAAGAGCCGUUCGAGACUAGGACGUUGAUAGGUUGGAUGUGGAAGCAUAGUGAUAUGUGAAGCUGACCAAUACUAAUUGCUCGUGAGGCUUGACUAU